rnacentral:rRNA from 1 species
AUUGAACGCUGGCGGCAGGCCUAACACAUGCAAGUCGAGCGGAUGAAGGGAGCUUGCUCCUGGAUUCAGCGGCGGACGGGUGAGUAAUGCCUAGGAAUCUGCCUGGUAGUGGGGGAUAACGUCCGGAAACGGGCGCUAAUACCGCAUACGUCCUGAGGGAGAAAGUGGGGGAUCUUCGGACCUCACGCUAUCAGAUGAGCCUAGGUCGGAUUAGCUAGUUGGUGGGGUAAAGGCCUACCAAGGCGACGAUCCGUAACUGGUCUGAGAGGAUGAUCAGUCAAACUGGAACUGAGACACGGUCCAAACUCCAACGGGAGGCAGCAGGGGGGAAUAUUGGACAAUGGGCGAAAGCCUGACCCAGCCAGGCCGCGUGGGUGAGAAGGUCUUCGGAUUGUAAAGCACUUUAAGUUGGGAGGAAGGGCAGUAAGUUAAUACCUUGCUGUUUUGACGUUACCAACAGAAUAAGCACCGGCUAACUUCGUG